ensembl:lncRNA LINC01684 long intergenic non-protein coding RNA 1684
AGGUUUAGAUGAAUGGAAAAUGAACUUGCCAGUUCACAGCUAUGUCCUUCCCAAUUUAGGAGGUUAAGGGCAGGAAAAACAUGAGAAACUCUUUUGAGAAGCUGCACAAGCUGACAUGGAGGAUCAAGGAUUUCAAAAGCUUUGAAUAUAAAGAGGUGUCAGACUUACAUCAGAGCCUGAGACUUGACAUGCCUAUUUUUGCACUCGCUCAUUUUUCAAAUUUCAUAGGCAUUGCUCCCUCCAAAUCACCGCUCUUCUAAUUUUAUCCUGGAGUGUGCAUCCCAGAAGACAUAAGCUGACACAAUUGGGAACUGAAGUUGCUUGAAAAAGCUGGUGACUCUAGACAGCUUAUACGUAUUUGGACAAGGCAACGUGAUGAAGAAAUAAUAUAAUUGUAGGAUCACCUCUGUCCAGUAGCUGUUAUCCAACAUCUGCAUACUUAGAUUUCUGGAGAGGUUGGAGUGCAGUGGCACCAUCUCGGUUCACUGCAACCUCCACCUUUGAGGUUCAAGCAAUUCUCCUGCCUCAGCCUCCUGAGUAGCUGGGACUACAUGCGCGUGCCACCAAACCCAGCUAAUUUUUGUAGUUUUUAGUAGAGUUGGGGUUCACCAUAUUGGACAGACUGGUCUUCAACUCAUGACCUCAAGUAAUCUGCCUGACUUCGCUUCCCAAAGUGUUGGGAUUACAGACAUAAGCCACCAUGCCUGGUCCAAUACAAUGAUAUUAAGAGGUUGAUGCUUGUAUACAUGUGUAACUAGCCUGCACAUUGUGGACAUGUACCCUAAAACUUAAAGUAUAAUAAUAAUAAAAUAAAUAAA